rnacentral:rRNA from 1 species
GGCCAUUGCUAUCGGAGUCCGAUUUAGCCAUGCUAGUUGCACGAGUUUAGACUCGUAGCAUAUAGCUCAGUAACACGUGGCCAAACUACCCUACAGACCGCGAUAACCUCGGGAAACUGAGGCCAAUAGCGGAUAUAACUCUCAUGCUGGAGUGCCGAGAGUUAGAAACGUUCCGGCGCUGUAGGAUGUGGCUGCGGCCGAUUAGGUAGAUGGUGGGGUAACGGCCCACCAUGCCGAUAAUCGGUACAGGUUGUGAGAGCAAGAGCCUGGAGACGGUAUCUGAGACAAGAUACCGGGCCCUACGGGGCGCAGCAGGCGCGAAACCUUUACACUGCACGACAGUGCGAUAGGGGGACUCCGAGUGCGAGGGCAUAUAGCCCUCGCUUUUCUGUACCGUAAGGUGGCACAGGAACAAGGACUGGGCAAGACCGGUGCCAGCCGCCGCGGUAAUACCGGCAGUCCAAGUGAUGGCCGAUAUUAUUGGGCCUAAAGCGUCCGUAGCCGGCCGGACAAGUCCGUUGGGAAAUCGACGCGCUCAACGCGUCGGCGUCCAGCGGAAACUGUCCGGCUUGGGGCCGGAAGACCUGAGGGGUACGUCCGGGGUAGGAGUGAAAUCCUGUAAUCCUGGACGGACCACCAAUGGGGAAACCACCUCAGGAAGACGGACCCGACGGUGAGGGACGAAAGCUAGGGUCUCGAACCGGAUUAGAUACCCGGGUAGUCCUAGCUGUAAACGAUGCUCGCUAGGUGUGCCGUAGGCUACGAGCCUGCGCUGCGCCCUAGGGAAGCCGAGAAGCGAGCCGCCUGGGAAGUACGUCUGCAAGGAUGAAACUUAAAGGAAUUGGCGGGGGAGCACCACAACCGGAGGAGCCUGCGGUUU